CUAGAAAAUUGACAAGCCGAGUUGGCUGUUUUUGGUUGGAUGUUGGUAUUUGGGAUUUGUCGGAGGUUCUGAUUUUCUUCAAUUAUGAAUUACAACGCCCAGGCAGGCACUGAUGGACGAGCCCAUCGGUCGCUAUCGAAAAAGCCAAAGCGGGUAAGUGAUGUUAAUGCCAUCGGCUCCACGAUCCCGUUUCAACAGAUGACAUCACAAAUCCCUACCAAUCAGUACAUGCCACCCGAUCCCAAUAAUUUCUACGGCGGGCAGGAACAGCCACAGCAUCAACAGCCAAACUACGGAUACAUCCCACAGCAACCGCAGCAACCAAACCAUGUACCAAGGCAACCGGGACAGCCAUCGGCGCCGGUUCCGGGGAUGGGCGGUGGACAGUUUGCCAUGUUCCAGCAGCCCAUCGUUCAGGACAUGGCCAUGCAGUACGGCCAGAAGCUGGCCGACCAAGGCAAAGAGAUGGUGCACAGCCACAUUGAAAAGUACUUGCCGGUUGCCAAGCUGAAGUACUAUUUCGCCGUAGACAACAGUUACGUGGUGAACAAAUUGAAAAUCAUCUUUUUACCGUUCCUGCAGAAGGAUUGGGGAAUGAAGUACGACCACGACAAUCCGGUGCAGCCCCGGUACGACAUUAAUGCACCAGAUUUGUAUAUUCCUUCAAUGAGCUACAUUACAUAUGUUGUUUUGGCGGGCAUUGCUCUCGGGAUGCAAAAUCGGUUCUCAUCGGAACAGCUUGGCAUUCAGGCCUCGAGCGCUCUAGCAUACAGCAUCAUCGAAAUGCUCAUCUACAUAUUGACGCUGUACAUAGGUAAUAUUUCAACGUCUCUCAGCACCCUCGACCUCCUGGCUUUGACUGGCUACAAAUACUCUGCGAUUGUGUCCAUCGUGGCCGGUAGCAUAUUGCUAAAGAGAAUGGGAUACUACUUAGCAUUUUUCUACACAUCAGCAAUGCUGCCAAUGUUUUUGCUACGCACCAUGAAGGCCAAGGUACUUUCGGAACCGGCCCAAACGCAGAGCGCGGUUGGAUAUGAUCCGUAUGGGCAGCCGCAGAACGACCAUCAUGUUGGUCGUAAACGUAAGCUUUAUUUCCUGUUCCUUGUUACUGGCCUGCAACCGGUACUGGCAUUCUGGCUCACGGUACAUCUGAUAGUUAGCGAUACUGUACAAAGUGCUUAAAUACAAAUACUGAACCCUCACGAUGACGCCGGUGUACUAAAUGGCGUCCAAUGGAAAUAAAUUCUCGUCUCUCCCUGGGCUGGGUUUUCAUUUCGAGCAAGACACAAUACGCGCUAAAAUGUGAUGAAUUUCGUCCUGAAGAGGGCAACCGUUGGUGAAAGUUUCCGCAUACUCGCUGCAUGUGUCGCAUUAUCUCACGCUGACCCCCGACACUUUCGGCUGCCAAUGGCAAACUUUGGCCACCGU